UAAUAAUAUAAAAGGUAAACUCGAACGACGGACAAAAGCUACGCUAGGGAUAACAGUCUAACACGCCCUUAGAGUUCCUAUCGAUGGGCGUACGAGGAACCUCGAUGUUGGAUCAUCGCGUCCUGUGGCUGCAGAAGGUCAUAAGGGUUGGAUUGUUCAUCCAUUAAAGCGGUACGUGAUCUGAGUUAAGAACGUCAGCGUGAGACAGUUCGGAUUCUAUCUUUGUUAGUAAAGGCAAAUACACAAAAACCGCCUGAGCAACUAAAGCCUUUGAGAGCGAGUACGAAAGGACCAAUCUCUUGUAAACCUCUGGUGAACUUGUUGUCUAAAUUCCGGCAUAGCAAGAAAGCUACGUUUAAUUAGGCUAAAUUGCUUUUUUUCAAUUACAUCGAAUGUGCUUUGUUUGAAUAAGCAAAAGAUUUUUAUAAUAUAAAAAAUUGU
rnacentral:rRNA from 1 species